GAUGUUAGCGGCGGACGGGUGAGUAACACGUGGGUAACCUGCCUGUAAGACUGGGAUAACUCCGGGAAACCGGAGCUAAUACCGGAUAGUUCCUUGAACCGCAUGGUUCAAGGAUGAAAGACGGUUUCGGCUGUCACUUACAGAUGGACCCGCGGCGCAUUAGCUAGUUGGUGAGGUAACGGCUCACCAAGGCGACGAUGCGUAGCCGACCUGAGAGGGUGAUCGGCCACACUGGGACUGAGACACGGCCCAGACUCCUACGGGAGGCAGCAGUAGGGAAUCUUCCGCAAUGGACGAAAGUCUGACGGAGCAACGCCGCGUGAGUGAUGAAGGUUUUCGGAUCGUAAAGCUCUGUUGUUAGGGAAGAACAAGUGCAAGAGUAACUGCUUGCACCUUGACGGUACCUAACCAGAAAGCCACGGCUAACUACGUGCCAGCAGCCGCGGUAAUACGUAGGUGGCAAGCGUUGUCCGGAAUUAUUGGGCGUAAAGGGCUCGCAGGCGGUUUCUUAAGUCUGAUGUGAAAGCCCCCGGCUCAACCGGGGAGGGUCAUUGGAAACUGGGAAACUUGAGUGCAGAAGAGGAGAGUGGAAUUCCACGUGUAGCGGUGAAAUGCGUAGAGAUGUGGAGGAACACCAGUGGCGAAGGCGACUCUCUGGUCUGUAACUGACGCUGAGGAGCGAAAGCGUGGGGAGCGAACAGGAUUAGAUACCCUGGUAGUCCACGCCGUAAACGAUGAGUGCUAAGUGUUAGGGGGUUUCCGCCCCUUAGUGCUGCAGCUAACGCAUUAAGCACUCCGCCUGGGGAGUACGGUCGCAAGACUGAAACUCAAAGGAAUUGACGGGGGCCCGCACAAGCGGUGGAGCAUGUGGUUUAAUUCGAAGCAACGCGAAGAACCUUACCAGGUCUUGACAUCCUCUGACAACCCUAGAGAUAGGGCUUUCCCUUCGGGGACAGAGUGACAGGUGGUGCAUGGUUGUCGUCAGCUCGUGUCGUGAGAUGUUGGGUUAAGUCCCGCAACGAGCGCAACCCUUGAUCUUAGUUGCCAGCAUUCAGUUGGGCACUCUAAGGUGACUGCCGGUGACAAACCGGAGGAAGGUGGGGAUGACGUCAAAUCAUCAUGCCCCUUAUGACCUGGGCUACACACGUGCUACAAUGGACAGAACAAAGGGCUGCGAGACCGCAAGGUUUAGCCAAUCCCACAAAUCUGUUCUCAGUUCGGAUCGCAGUCUGCAACUCGACUGCGUGAAGCUGGAAUCGCUAGUAAUCGCGGAUCAGCAUGCCGCGGUAAUGCCG
rnacentral:rRNA from 2 species